AUUGAACGCUGGCGGCAGGCCUAACACAUGCAAGUCGAGCGGAUGAAGGGAGCUUGCUCCUGGAUUCAGCGGCGGACGGGUGAGUAAUGCCUAGGAAUCUGCCUGGUAGUGGGGGAUAACGUCCGGAAACGGGCGCUAAUACCGCAUACGUCCUGAGGGAGAAAGUGGGGGAUCUUCGGACCUCACGCUAUCAGAUGAGCCUAGGUCGGAUUAGCUAGUUGGUGGGGUAAAGGCCUACCAAGGCGACGAUCCGUAACUGGUCUGAGAGGAUGAUCAGUCACACUGGAACUGAGACACGGUCCAGACUCCUACGGGAGGCAGCAGUGGGGAAUAUUGGACAAUGGGCGAAAGCCUGAUCCAGCCAUGCCGCGUGUGAAGAAGGUCUUCGGAUUGUAAAGCACUUUAAGUUGGGAGGAAGGGCAGUAAGUUAAUACCUUGCUGUUUUGACGCUACCAACAGAAUAAGCACCGGCUAACUUCGUG
rnacentral:rRNA from 1 species